AUUGAGCAGUAAAAUAAAUUUGAGUACAAAUCCUUAUAAAAAUCAGUCAAACACCAGUUCAUGUAAUAGAAUGUCACAGUAAUACAAUUAAAAUACAUUUUUUUCUUCUAUUUUCAUAAAAUCUAUAACCUAUUAAUUAAAAAUUCAUUCAAGUCUAAAUGUAAAGCUUAUUUGAUCAUUAAAAUCAGAAUUUAGAAUUUUCUAGCUUAUCUCCCUUUUUUAAACAAGUCUACAUAUAAAUAAAAAGAUGUGGUAUGAUUACAAACUAGACAAUGAGACAACUAUCAAUCACAGACGAAAUGAUUUGGGUGUUUACAAUUAUAGAUCUCUAUAGUCAAGACCAUGUGAGAUCCUCAUGGGUAGUUGAUUAUGUCACCGUACAGCCUUCAACAAUGAUCAAGAGCUGUACCAUAUGAUAUGUUAUAAAGUCCUCAACAUGACACAAUGUGAAACAAAUCAAACAAGAGUACAGCCUGAUUACUUUUGUAUAUUCUUGGUUUUAUAAAUUAUCUAGAUGAGUUCAUCUUUAUUUCUUAGUGUCUAGCAAAUCCUUAGGCAGAAUUGUAUUAAAAAAAAGAAAUUCAUAUUCUAAAGAUGGGAAAAGUGAGUAUUAUGUCUAUGCCUAUACUAAUGCCAUUUAACUUCUACAUAUGGUAGAUAAAUGUCAAUGUGGCACAAUCAAAUGUAUAACUAAAGUAUACACAUUCUUACAAGUUUUGGUCAUCAGUACAGUUAUACAAACACUGAGAUUUAUUUAUCUACAAGCAAUGAUAUAGAUUAACCUAAAAAUACUAUCUAUCUAAUAAAAUGAUGACAAUAUUGAAAUGAUCAGAGUAAAAAAUAUAAUAAUCUAUCAAAAAAAUAAAUCUUCAUUACAUACAUGUAUAAAAGACAAUGGCAAACACUCAGUCAUGAUAAGAAUGUUUCCAUGGGAAAUAAAUAUUCACAAUUUUACAAUAAAAAGAAAACCAAACAUAAUUAGGUGACACAAUGCUUCUUAAAUAUUUAGCUGAGGUCUACAGGUUAUGCGUGAAGAUUUUUAAAAUGAUAGUAGAUAUGAUGAUGAUGGACUUGCAAUGUGCCUUUCAAUAGUCAAUAACUAUUAAAGCAAUUUCUUAAUUUUCAAAUGCGAAAAAGAACUGAAUUUUGGCAUUACAUGUUUAAU
rnacentral:lncRNA from 1 species